UACGUAGGGUGCGAGCGUUGUCCGGAAUUAUUGGGCGUAAAGAGCUCGUAGGCGGUGUGUCACGUCGGCCGUGAAAACCUGGGGCUUAACUCUGGGCGUGCGGUCGAUACGGGCAUCACUAGAGUUCGGCAGGGGAGACUGGAAUUCCUGGUGUAGCGGUGGAAUGCGCAGAUAUCAGGAGGAACACCGGUGGCGAAGGCGGGUCUCUGGGCAGUAACUGACGCUGAGGAGCGAAAGCGUGGGGAGCGAACAGG
rnacentral:rRNA from 1 species